UAAUUCUCUGCGGGGAGAGGGGGCCGCUGAGCCUGCCGCCACCUCACGAUCGCCCUGGCCGUCCUGCCCCUGCCCCUGCCUGGCUGAGCCUGAGGGCCGCGGCGCCCCGCUUCGUCCCCCUCGCCCACGCCUCAGCUUUGGGCUCAGCGCUGCCUCCAGGACCCAGCGGGACGUCUCAGACCUGCCUGCCUUGUGGCAGGGCCCAGUGCCACGCGGAGGGACCGUGGCCUUUGUGGUCCUUUCCUGGACCUCCAUUCGCUACCGACUGCCGCCGAUGACUGGUUCACUCCAGUCUUCCCACUCAAAAAUGCCCCCCAUCCGUGACAGAGAGAAUGCAGCGAUUCUGGCUCACUGCUGAGGGCUGGCUCAGGGGUCUUUGGGAGGGGCGGUCAGCUGAGAUCCGCCGGAGGAGCGGGGACUCUCAGGUGUGUCCGGGCGGAGGGGGUCGCAGGGACUGGGCCUCUCAUCGGGUCCCUGCCUGCCUCUGCCACUGAGGGAGGAAUCCUUCUCUCACUUCCUUCUCUCCAUGGCUAGGUGCGCCCUCUUCUGUGUCACUAUGUUGGGUACACCCCAGGUUACCCUUGCUUGGCAUGCUGGAAGUGCAAAACCAAAUUCCCUGAAAUUUUCUUAAAGUUUCUUAGUAUAAAAGGCAUUCGGGCCUGAAAAAUAGCGUAUCUUUUCAUUUUUCAAAGAAAUACUUUAUUUCAAAAAGUGCAGACUUUUCCUUAAUCGAUGAAAAAUCAUAAUUAGAGACUUAUGGGGAUGUUCCUUGCUCUGCAUCUAGAGCCAUUGAUGACGGCAUUUCUUCACACAGAAGGGAGGAAGCCUCUCCCACCUCCAUCUAGGAGCCGCCAGGGUGCUGGCAGGUACAGUAAAAUUUUCUUAUUAGUAAAUGGGUGAAACAACAAGUGAUCUGCCCAGGUCAUAAGAGAGAGCUCCAAACAAGUUUACUAAGUGCUUUUUAGACACAGCAAUCCUCAUUACUUCACUGAAGACUAUAUCAGACGUUUAAAGGCCAGACCCAGUCCAUCACACAGCUUCCAACACAUUUAGAGUCAACGUGCUGUGGGCUGCAAUGUGGCCUUACAGAGGAUGCUCACCUGGCACUGCAUCCAGCUCAUCCUGGCCUUUCCCUCGGGGGAUAAACGUGACAGAAGAGUAAGUUCACAAAGACCCAAUUGCACAGUGAGCUUCUGCGAGAGCCCAGCUGAUGUGACAGGGCCUUGGGGAUGUGGCCCUGAGCCCUGGGCAGUGGGUGUGGUGAUACAGGGACCCAGCCGUGGAAAGCACAUAUUAAAAGGCUGCUGGAGCCGGAAACCUAUCACUCCACCAGUGUGGUUUCUUGAAGCCCAUCUGCUGCAUCACCUCUUGCUCACUAAUGCGUUUUUGUUUUUUUUUUGGUACCAGGGAUUGAACUCGGGUCCUUGCGCUUGCGCAGCAGGCGGCGAAACCACUGAGCUAAAUCCCCGGCCCCUUCUAAUGUGGGUUUGAUCAGCAUUUCCUUCCCUCACUGCUCUUCGUCAAAGCCUGCUCUCUUCUGUGUCUUUUCUCUUCUGCCCUGUUGGAGGUUCUAGGUCUGUGUGGACCUAGAAGAGUAUGAGAAUUGUAGUCUGCGCUGUCCACUCUGCCUACAUUGCUCUGUGGCUUUAACAGUUUUUACUGAACAUUUGUGCUGGGCAGAUGCUCUCAGAACCAAGUCUCAAGCCCUUCUCAUCUACACAUCCUCAUCCCAUUUCACCACUGGGAAUUCCUUGACCACUCCCACUGCCCAUUAUGCCGCAGAUCUCUCCCUGUGGGCUGCUGGUGCUGCCUCCCCUCCUCCUGCAGGCCUUGCUUCAGGUCUUACACACACACCUCCAGGCCCCUUUCCCAACUGCUUCCCUCUCAUUCCCAGGAUGAUGAAGGCACAAUUCCCACUGAGCUUCCCUACUGCUCUGAGCUCAGUGCCUUCUGUGACUAACAAGGGAAAGUGCUGCCUCCCCUCUCAGCAAGUGGACCUGAGAGGAGAAUGCUAAGUACUAGCAGCUGUAGUACUGGUGUAAGCUCAAGGAGGAGCUCUUUUCCCCUUAGCCAACCCUACCUGGGCUGUCUGAUUACCUAUAAGGAAUUCUUUUCACAGACUUCCACGUCCUCAUCUCAUUUGUCCCAUUUAUCCUAUCCUAUUUAUCUCAUUUAUCCUAAUUCACGUUGAUUCUUUAACCAAGAUCUGGGGAAGUUAAAUAAUCAACUUCAAUAAGGAUCUCUCAAGGCAGAAACACACCUUUCUGCCCCACUGGCUUUCAAUCGUGCCUUUGCUCUCCAAGGGCCCAGGCUCCUCCACUGCCCUGCGAAGCACAAGGCAGUGUCCCUGAGUCCUGAGUCCUUCUGAAGAAAAUGAAGCAGAUGUGAGGAAUCCCAGAAGACUGGCUUUGCCGACCUGUCUGUCUGGAAACAAUGUCCCCCAAAGUUAUUCCAUAUCUCUUGGUCCACCAUCCGUAAGAAGCAGGGUCACCACCCUCUUGACACCUCUGCCCUAUGCACUGUGCCUGUGUCCCUGAGAGAAAGAAUAGGUUGGCUGGAUGGCAACAAGGACGUGAGCCUGAUUCUCUAGUUGGAAAGGGAGGACAAGGGGCUGUGCCAGGAGGCCCCAUAGUUUCUCAGUUUGAUCCCCUAUUGAGAGCAGCCUCUAGGAAUUGUUCCCUGAGCCAGGUCCUCCCAGAGCAGGGGCUGUGGUCUUACCUGGAGUGAUCCUGCCUUGGGCCAUGGGGUUGAGCAGCACCAGCAGUGCCACUGUCAGAGCUGCUGUCCCUGGGGCCUCAGGGACCUGCAGAGCCAUCUUGGUGAGAUGGAGAAAGUAGCCGCCAGGGAGUGAGAGACUCACUAAAUAAACUCCAGUGUGAACUAUCAGAGACUGCAAGCCAGUGCAGUCCCCUAUGGCCCUGCUAUUGGACAGACUCUGAGAAAAGAACCAAUGGGCGUGAAGCUUUCUAUGAGUCAUCACUCACUGGGUAGAUGGUUAGUGUGAAAGGCCUGGCAACUUAGUGUAUGAUGUACUCAAGAUGAUGGGGUGAUAUUUAUUUUAAUCAUGAGGUUUUGGGAGAGUGUGUAUUUUCUUUGCUCUGAAGGUGAUCUGAAAUAUUCUGUUAGUCUAUGGCGAUUAUUACUCUCCCAAACCUGCCACUUCACACAUCUCCGUGUCUAGAAAGUCACCUGUGACAUGGUUUAUAGAAAGACAGAUUAGAGUGCCUGCCUUCUCAGAACAAAAUGAGUCCUUGAGCCUGUCUGCUUUGUCUCUGUUCAAAGGGGUUUUUAGGAUUUUCAUCAUCUAUGUUUUCUUGCUCCUUCAGAUCUGUUGGUCUUGGGAGGUACCAGGUACCCAUGGUCUCUCCUCAGGACUGCCAUGGGUUCAGCAGAGCUCAGUCUAAAGACCGUAAGAAUCUACAUAGACCAUAAGCUUAGGAGCACGUACACAGCUGUAGCACCAAGUAAAUCUGUGACUUGGAGGCCAUUGUGUUUUUCGGACUUCGGUCCUUUCUGUUUUGCGUGGGGCCGACAUAGCUGAUCUUUACAGAAGCGAUAUUGAAUACAAAUGAGACAGACAGAUCUGACAUUGCUUUGGAAUAGUCAAGUUCACAGAAAACAGAAUAAAGAACCAAGGGGAAAAACCAUCAGAGACCCUGCGCCCCCCAAAACAUCUUACUCUGUUGUGUUUGUUGUGAAUAUUUUCUAACACUUUCAAAGAAAAUUACCCUGUAGUUUACAAAUUUGUAAAUAUGAUCUUAUUGAACCAAAAAUUCUGAUAAAGAACAUGUCAAACUGGGGACAUUUCUUUAACACAGAUAUUACAAUGUAAAUAAAACGCUAGCAUAUACAAUGGAAGAGAAAAAAAGAAUUGUUAGCAUAAGGUGUCCAUGAGGAAUGAGGAGUCUGUAUAGAAUUGUGGAAUUGUGGAAUAAAAUUGUGCUCAAUUUCUUCAGUUAAAA